UACGUAGGGUGCAAGCGUUAAUCGGAAUUACCGGGCGUAAAGCGUGCGCAGGCGGUUAUGUAAGACAGUUGUGAAAUCCCCGGGCUCAACCUGGGAACUGCAUCUGUGACUGCAUAGCUAGAGUACGGUAGAGGGGGAUGGAAUUCCGCGUGUAGCAGUGAAAUGCGUAGAUAUGCGGAGGAACACCGGUGGCGAAGGCGGCGAUCUGGGUAGAUACUGACGCUGAGGUGCGAAAGCGUGGGGAGCAAACAGG
rnacentral:rRNA from 1 species